rnacentral:rRNA from 1 species
UACGGGGGGGGCAAGCGUUGUUCGGAAUUACUGGGCGUAAAGGGCUCGUAGGCGGCUAACUAAGUCAGACGUGAAAUCCCUCGGCUUAACCGGGGAAUGGCUUCUGAUACUGGAUAGCUUGAGUUUGGGAGAGGGAUGCGGAAUUCCAGGUGUAGCGGUGAAAUGCGUAGAUAUCUGGAGGAACACCGGUGGCGAAGGCGGCAUCCUGGACCAACACUGACGCUGAUGAGCGAAAGCGUGGGGAGCGAACAGG